rnacentral:misc_RNA from 1 species
UAUUGAAUUCUGAGGAGAAAUGGGGGGAAGACGAAUGGGUGGAGAACUGUUGCUGGCUCCCUUGGGGGGGGGGCAUGUGCACGUCUUCCCUUUUGUUGACCAAUUCUCUCUCAAAUGCUGCACCUUGUGCACCUAUUGUAGGUCCUCGACAGAGGAUCUAUGUUUUUCAUAUCACACCUUGUUGCAUGUCUAUAGAAUGUAUUGCAAACCGUCAACCCGACGGUCAAAUAAAAAUCAUACAACUUUCAGCAACGGAUCUCUUGGCUCUCGCAUCGAUGAAGAACGCAGCGAAUUGCGAUAAGUAAUGUGAAUUGCAGAUUUUCAGUGAAUCAUCGAAUCUUUGAACGCACCUUGCGCUCCUUGGUAUUCCGAGGAGCAUGCCUGUUUGAGUGUCAUCGAAUUCUCAACCAUGUCUUGAUGCAUUUCAAGGACAUGGCUUGGAGUUGGGGGUUGCUGGUGGCGAAAAUGCUGUCAGCUCUCCUGAAAUGCAUUAGCAAAGGGUGGCAAGUCUUUUCGACGUGCAACGGCCUUCGACGUGAUAAUGAUCGUCGUGGCUGGCGCAUCAGGGGGGAGAUAUGCAUGAAUUGUCCAUUGCUUCCAAUUGUCGAGUCUUUACUUACCUACUAGUGGGUCAUGAGGCCGACGAACGUUGAGUGGGCUUGUCUGUUUCGAAACUUG